rnacentral:rRNA from 1 species
UGGGGAAUAUUGGACAAUGGGCGCAAGCCUGAUCCAGCCAUGCCGCGUGAGUGACGAAGGCCUUAGGGUUGUAAAGCUCUUUUGGCGGGGACGAUAAUGACGGUACCCGCAGAAUAAGCCCCGGCUAACUUCGUGCCAGCAGCCGCGGUAAUACGAAGGGGGCUAGCGUUGUUCGGAAUUACUGGGCGUAAAGCGCACGUAGGCGGAUUUGUUAGUCAGGGGUGAAAUCCCGGGGCUCAACCUCGGAACU